rnacentral:lncRNA from 1 species
AGCGGGGAGCAAGGCCUGCGGGGAGGCGCAGGAUGGACGCGUUGGCUGUCAUGAUGUAGGACCUCCUGACCUAGAACCAUGCCCGGCGCAGGGAGAACAACGAGCUUACGGACCGGGUGCGGGGGCUGCUGUGCGAGAAAGCCUACCUGCUGGCCCGGGAGCGUUCGCCGGCCCACCUGGUGGCUUUCCCUGGACGUUUAACGGCGACUCCGCCCGGCCUCCCGACUUUUUGAUGCAGGCGUUCUCUUACAUGACUUUCUUCGAGGCUAGAUUCUCGAAAGACAUCCUGAAGGUGGCUUUCUUAAUUAGCUGCCUCACCGGCUGGCGGAGCAGUUCGUAGUCGCCUACAUCGAGAGGGAGAGCCCCGUCCUGGCUCAGUACUGGGGCUUCGUGGACGCGCUGUAGCGGGUCUUCGCCGUCGUGGGUAGGAAACAGUCGGGCCGGAUCCCCGGUGUCUGGGGAGCGGCUGCCGGCCGGGCCCGCGCGAGCCGCUUCACUCCUACAAGCCCGGCUCACUAGUUCCAAGCUGCUGGACUUUGACCCUCGCUGGGAAGCUUGAUCGCCGCCUGUUCUCGCCAAUCUCUAUGCCUUUGCACUGCCCAGCAACCCGGUCACUGCCCAGGACCUGUUAAAAGUUGAAUGGACCUCCCAGAAUCACGCCGCUGCCACCGCCGUUUCUAGAGACGGCUUUUGGCCACCUUUGAGAAUCAGGGUCAAACUUGGAAGGGCCUGCAUUUGUCACACUUCCUCGGACACUAAUUUGGAUAGUUCAGGCCCAGAGACGGCUUCCCGGGUUAGUGUGCCUGACAACACUGAAGAAAAAUUGUGACAUUUUCCUUCCCCAGAAUUACUUCGUUUUAUACAUUUCACUUCUCUUCUGAAAUCACAGCAAUGCCAGUUUGCGCCUUUUGGUCUGAGGAACGCAGGCCCUGGCCACUACCAGGAAAAAGUAUUUACUUUUAAAACUUGAAUGUAUAUCUUUACCGUAUGCCUAGUACAGUAGUGCUUGGAAGAAACAGAUUAGUAAGACAAAAUAUAUGUCUUCAAGAACACUUACGUUCUGAGAAAGAAUUCUGAAUGCAGAUUCUAAUGUCUGGUAAAAUGCUUUACAGUAUCCUUUGCACAUGGCCUGCUAUCAACAAUCCUCUACAAUGAUUCUCAGCAUCACCUAGGGAGCUUAUGUAAAAUCUCAAAUUCCUGGGCCCUAUCCCCAGAGUUUCUUAUCAAGUAAGUCUGCAUUGGGAUCUGAGGAUUUGCAUCUCUAACAAAAAUUCCUAGGCGAUGCUCACACUGUUGGUGUAAGGUUUCCUUGAUGGAGAACUAUCAAAGCAGUCAAAGCUAUCAAAAUAAAAAAGAAUUCUGAUUGGGUGCAGUGGCUCACACCUGUCAUUCCAGCACUUUGAGAGGCCAAGGUGGGCAGAUCACAUGAGGCCAGGAGUUCAAGACCAGCCUGGCCAACAUGGCAGAAACCCCAUCUCUACUAAAAAUACCAAAAUUAGCCGGGCAUGGUGGAACACACCUGCAAUCCCAGCUACUCGGGAGGCUGAGGCAAGAGAAUCGCUUGAACCUGGGAGGCAGAAGUUGCAGUGAAACAAGUUGGUGCCAAUGCAUUCCAGCCUGGAUGAUGGAGCGAGACUCUGUCUCAAGAAAAAAAAAACAAAAACAAAAACAGAACUCUGCCUCAUAGCGUCUUUUAAGUUAUACACUGGACCUAUCCUUUCCUCACUGACAGACAUUUUAAAAAUUUUUUGGUAAGGCCUAGUUCAUAUAAAAUGUAAUCCAAGCCAAAAGUUAACAAGAAUAAGGGGAGGAAAGGGGACUCCAAUAGCAGAGAAAGGUAUUUACCUGGGAUAUACACUGCAAGAAAAUCAAAGCUAUAAGAAACGUCCAUGAAUAGUAGCCAUAAGGCAUCAGAGUGAUAAAAUUCCUGUCCCUAGGAGGGAAUAUUGGAGUUUGCCAGAGAAACAGAAUGAGAGAGACAGAGAGGUUUAUUGUAGGAAUUGGCUCAUAUGAUUACGGAGGCUGAGAAGACCCACGAUCUGCCAUCUGCAAGCUGGAGAAUCAGGAAAGCUGGAGGUGUAAUUCAGUCAAGUCCAAUGGCCAGAGAAGCAAGUGUACUGAUAUCCAAGAGCAGGAGAAAAUAGAUGUCCCAGAACAAGCAGAGAGGCUGAUUUUGUCCUUCCUCUGCCUUUUUGUUUCAUAUGGGGCACUGAAUGGACUGAUGCCCAUCCACAUUAGUGAGGGUGGAUCUUCUUUACUCAGUCUACCAGUAGAAAUGUCAAUGACUUCCAGAAACACCCUCACCAACACACGUGGAAAUAAUGUUUUACCAGGUAUCUGGGCAUCCCUUGGUUCACUCAAGUUGACACAAAAUUAACCAUCACAGAAGGAGACUGGCCUUACUCUGAAAUUAGGAAACUAAAGAAGUGACCAGAAUGGAGACUAGGUAGAGACAACUAGUUCUCUACCAAACAUGUACAGUUAUUCGUUGGUAUCUGAAGGGGAUUGGUUCCAGGAACUCUCAGGGAUACCAAAAUCUGCAGGUGCUCAAGUCAUUUAUAUAAAAUAUUACAGUAUUUGCAUAUAACCUUUGCACAUCUUCCAUAUACUUUAAAUCAUCUCUACAUUACUUAUAAUAAUGAAUGUGUAAAUGCUAUGAAAAUAGUUACUACACUAUUGUUUAUUUGUAUUUUUAUUGAAUUGUUUUGGGGUGGGGGGCAGCUGUAUCUUUCUUAGUAAUAGAACCCCUGGUUUUAGCUGGGCACAUGACUGCCCUCAAUAAAGAUUAAAGUACCCCAGCCUUCCUUGAGAUUGUGGCCAUGUGACUGAACUUUAGACAGUGAGAUAUAAGCAGAUAUCUUCUGUGGCAGUGUUAGGAAACUAUUAAAGACAGUAAGAACAUUGCCCUUUGCCUUCUUUUUCCUUUCUUCAUUUUUCUGCCUGGAAUGCAAAUGUGAUGGCUAACACCCUAGCAGCCAUUUUAGAUUAUGAAGAUGAGAGUCACUCCCCAGGAAGGGUGGACCUGAAAGCUGGAUUCUAGAUGUGGAAUGACAAUACCAGCCCUGGACUACCUACCUGUAGGCUGUGUGUGUGUGUGUGUGAUUGACAGAGAGAGAGAGAGAUAGAUACCACAAGUAACACAAAGCAUCAUACCUGGGACUGGGAAGGUUAAUGUUUAAACAUUUUAAAUGUGGCAUUGGUUUGUUGAAGACAGUCAAGCAGUAGGUGCUGCAGGCUUUGUUGAGGCUAGAAAGCUGUUGGUCUUUAUUAGGUGAUGGCAAAACAAUGGAUCACAUUUUCAUGUGCUGUGUCUUGGGAGGCAAAUGAUGAGAAUGUAGGAUUGGGGAAAAUGGUAAGGAAAAUCCAAAAUGUUCAUGUUUUCUAACCCCUUCUUGCCAAUCUUAAAAGAAGGACAAACAGGCUAGAUUAAGCAAGUCUACAGUUACAAUUGGAAGGAAACACAGCCGUACUAAGGAAGUACUCUGUCUGUGGCCUGCAGUCUAGUUUGACUAGGUCCUGUAUUUGAGCUUUGAAAGAGUAAAGAAUACAAGUGCUCGUAUACCCCUGAAGUAGUUACCAGCAGUGACUGCAAGGAGGUAAUCUUAUGGGAUGAAACUAUAACUCUGUAUUAACCAUCAUAUAUAGCAUAUAUGUGUAUAUGUAUGUGUGUGUGUGUAUAUGUGUAUAUAAAUAUAUGUGUGUGUAUAUACACACAUGUACACACCCUACAACCCAGUGAUUUCAAAAAAUUAAACAUUUGUUUAGCUCAUGAAUCUGUGGGUUGGGUGAACAUUUCUAUUGGUCUUGGCUGGGCUCACCUGUACCCAGUCAGCUGCAGGGUCUAGCUCUUCUUAUCUUGGCUGGGAUCUCACACAUGUCUAGGAUCAGCUGCUUUACUAGUCUAGGAUUGUCUUGGCUGAGACAGGUGGACUACUCAGUUCUCCUCCACUGCCUUAUCCUUCAGCUGGCCAGCCCAGAAAUGUUGCCAUGUUUACAGCAUAAGAGCAAGCAAGAAAGAAUAAUAUGCAACCACUUUUCCAAGCCUAAGGUGAAAGGGCGGGCAGAACCUGUGGUGUUAGGAGGCAACUCAUACCAGCCCAUGGGUCUACCGUUUAAUUUUCAGAAAUUUGGCAAGCUGAUUGUUAACACAGCUGUUGUUUAAUUUAUGUACUUGUAAUUAAAUAAUUUACAUUAAAACAAAGAUAAUAGGUACUCAAA